rnacentral:rRNA from 1 species
UCCUACGGGAGGCAGCAGUAAGGAAUAUUGGGCAAUGGGCGAGAGCCUGACCCAGCCAUGCCGCGUGCAGGAAGACUGCCCUAUGGGUUGUAAACUGCUUUUAUAUGGGACUAACCGUGGCUACGUGUAGCCAUCUGCAUGUACCAUAUGAAUAAGCAUCGGCUAACUCCGUGCCAGCAGCCGCGGUAAUACGGAGGAUGCGAGCGUUAUCCGGACUUAUUGGGUUUAAAGGGUGCGUAGGCUGGUAAAUAAGUCAGUGGUGAAAAAUCUGGGCUCAACCGAGAUCCUGCCAUUGAAACUGUUUACCUGGAGUGUAAACGAAGUGGGCGGAAUGAGGAGUGUAGCGGUGAAAUGCAUAGAUAUUCCUCAGAACACCGAUAGCGAAGGCAGCUCACUAGGAUACAACUGACGGUGAGGCACGAAAGCGUGGGGAUCAAACAGGAUUAGAUACCCUGGUAGUCCACGCUGUAAACGAUGAUCACUAGGUGUGUGCGAUACACUGUCUGUGGCUAAGCGAACGCGAUAAGUAUCCGCCUGGG